rnacentral:pre_miRNA from 1 species
AGGAGGAACAACCGCAGUGGCGGGGCAGCUCUGGAAACCUGGAUUCAGCUCCGGCAGGAACUCCGUCUGCAGGGCCUGGAGGCUCCGGGGCGGG